rnacentral:tRNA from 1 species
GGGACGGGUUGGUGCCGUCCUCACACGGCGGAAGUCGAGAGUUCGAAUCUCUCCCCGCCCACCA